rnacentral:rRNA from 1 species
AUUAAACGCUGGCGGCAUGCCUUACACAUGCAAGUCGAACGGCAGCACGGGGGCAACCCUGGUGGCGAGUGGCGAACGGGUGAGUAAAGCAUCGGAACGUGCCCUGGAGUGGGGGAUAACGUAGCGAAAGUUACGCAAAUACCGCAUAUUCUGUGAGCAGGAAAGCAGGGGAUCGCAAGACCUUGCGCUCUGGGAGCGGCCGAUGUCGGAUUAGCUAGUUGGUGGGGUAAAGGCCUACCAAGGCGACGAUCCGUAGCGGGUCUGAGAGGAUGAUCCGCCACACUGGGACUGAGACACGGCCCAGACUCCUACGGGAGGCAGCAGUGGGGAAUUUUGGACAAUGGGCGAAAGUCUGAUCCAGCCAUGCCGCGUGAGUGAAGAAGGCC